rnacentral:rRNA from 1 species
UAAUACGGAGGGUGCAAGCGUUGUUCGGAAUCACUGGGCGUAAAGCGCGUGUAGGCGGUCUGUUAAGUCUGAUGUGAAAGCCCGGGGCUCACCCCCGGAAGUGCAUUGGAAACUGACAGACUGGAGUCCCGGAGAGGAGGGUGGAAUUCCUGGUGUAGCGGUGAAAUGCGUAGAUAUCAGGAGGAACACCGGUGGCGAAGGCGGCCCUCUGGACGGUGACUGACGCUGAGACGCGAAAGCGUGGGGAGCAAACAAGA